GAGUUUGAUCAUGGCUCAGGAUGAACGCUAGCGGCAGGCUUAACACAUGCAAGUCGAGGGGUAUAGUUCUUCGGAAUUAGAGACCGGCGCACGGGUGCGUAACGCGUAUGCAAUCUACCUUUCACAGAGGGAUAGCCCAGAGAAAUUUGGAUUAAUACCUCAUAGUAUAACGACUCCGCAUGGGGAUGUUAUUAAAGUCACAACGGUGAAAGAUGAGCAUGCGUCCCAUUAGCUAGUUGGUAAGGUAACGGCUUACCAAGGCUACGAUGGGUAGGGGUCCUGAGAGGGAGAUCCCCCACACUGGUACUGAGACACGGACCAGACUCCUACGGGAGGCAGCAGUGAGGAAUAUUGGACAAUGGGCGCAAGCCUGAUCCAGCCAUGCCGCGUGCAGGAUGACGGUCCUAUGGAUUGUAAACUGCUUUUGCACAGGAAGAAACAACGCUACGUGUAGCGUCUUGACGGUACUGUG
rnacentral:rRNA from 1 species